UGGGGAAUAUUGGACAAUGGGCGAAAGCCUGAUCCAGCCAUGCCGCGUGAGUGACGAAGGCCUUAGGGUUGUAAAGCUCUUUUGGCGGGGAAGAUAAUGACGGUACCCGCAGAAUAAGCUCCGGCUAACUUCGUGCCAGCAGCCGCGGUAAUACGAAGGGAGCUAGCGUUGUUCGGAAUCACUGGGCGUAAAGCGCACGUAGGCGGAUUUGUCAGUCAGGGGUGAAAUCCCGGGGCUCAACCUCGGAACUGCCUUUGAUACAGCAAGUCUUGAGUUCGGAAGAGGUGGGUGGAAUUCCUAGUGUAGAGGUGAAAUUCGUAGAUAUUAGGAAGAACACCGGUGGCGAAAGCGGCUCACUGGACCGUUACUGACGCUGAGGUGCGAAAGCUAGGGGAGCAAACGGGAUUAGAUACCCUAGUAGUCCCUGAGCGGGCUGGCAAGGCGCAU
rnacentral:rRNA from 1 species